CGUAACUUUAAAANGUAAAUAGGUGCUAAUACCGCAUAAGCGCACAGCUUCGCAUGAAGCGGUGUAGAAAAACUCUGGUGGUAUACGAUGGUUCCGCGUCUGAUUAGCUAGUUGGUGGGGUAAUGGCCUACCAAGGCAACGAUCAGUAGCCGGCCUGAGAGGGUGAUCGGCCACAUUGGGACUGAGACACGGCCCAAACUCCUACGGGAGGCAGCAG
rnacentral:rRNA from 1 species